rnacentral:rRNA from 1 species
CAGUCGCCGCGGGAAAACGAAGGGGGCUAGCGUUGCUCGGAAUGACUGGGCGUAAAGGGCGCGUAGGCGGUUGGUACAGUCAGAUGUGAAAUUCCUGGGCUUAACCUGGGGGCUGCAUUUGAUACGUGCUAGCUUGAGUGGGGAAGAGGGUCGUGGAAUUCCCAGUGUAGCGGUGAAAUGCGUAGAUAUCGGAAGGAACACCUGUGGCGAAAGCAGCUCACUGGACCAUUUCUGACGCUGAUGCACGAAAGCUAGGGGAGCAAACAGGAUUAGAUACCCCCGUAGUCCCUGUCUCUUAUAC